GAUGAACGCUAGCUACAGGCUUAACACAUGCCAGUCGAGGGGCAGCAUGGUCUUAGCUUGCUAAGGCCGAUGGCGACCGGCGCACGGGUGAGUAACACGUAUCCAACCUGCCGUCUACUCUUGGACAGCCUUCUGAAAGGAAGAUUAAUACAAGAUGGCAUCAUGAGUCCGCAUGUUCACAUGAUUAAAGGUAUUCCGGUAGACGAUGGGGAUGCGUUCCAUUAGAUAGUAGGCGGGGUAACGGCCCACCUAGUCUUCGAUGGAUAGGGGUUCUGAGAGGAAGGUCCCCCACAUUGGAACUGAGACACGGUCCAAACUCCUACGGGAGGCAGCAGUGAGGAAUAUUGGUCAAUGGGCGAGAGCCUGAACCAGCCAAGUAGCGUGAAGGAUGACUGCCCUAUGGGUUGUAAACUUCUUUUAUAAAGGAAUAAAGUCGGGUAUGGAUACCCGUUUGCAUGUACUUUAUGAAUAAGGAUCGGCUAACUCCGUG
rnacentral:rRNA from 1 species